rnacentral:rRNA from 1 species
ACGGUAUGAUUCAUGACUGGGGUGAAGUCGUAACAAGGUAACCGUAGGGGAACCUGCGGUUGGAUCACCUCCUUACCAAA